GAAAUGCCAGCUGAGGCACAUGCCUUGGGAGCUAAGUGGUUGCUGCCCUUGACCACUGUGAAGACUGGUGUGGGAAGGGUCGUUUUGGAUGCACUUGAGCAGGGGUCCCCAACCCCUGAGCCAUGGAGCCGCAAGGAGCCACACAGCAGGAGGUGGGAACAUCCAGUUGCAGGAAAACAAGCUUAACACGCCCACUGAUUCUACAUUAUGCUCCUACCUCCCGGCAGCCUCUCCAGGCCCAGAACUUUCUCCAGUCAGCCUCUACAGACCAAGCUCAUGACUCACAAUGGCCUAUUUAGGCCCAUACCCUACGUCACGGCAGCCUCCGCAGAUGAGGCUACUGCCUCACAACAGCCUCCACAGGCACAGCUCCAUCGUUACAAUGGCCUCUUUAGACCCAGCUCCUGCCUCCCAGCCUUCUCUCCAGGCCCUGAACUUUCUCAAGUCGACCUCACCAGGCCCAGCUCAUGCUUCUUUGCAGCCUCUCCAGGCCCAGCUCCUGCAUCUUGGUGGCCCCUCCAGGCCCAGCCUCUGCCUCCCGUCAGCCUCUACAGUCCCAACGUCUGCCUCACAGCAGAUUCUUCACGCCCAGCAUCUACCUCACUGUGGACCCCCCAAGCC
rnacentral:lncRNA from 1 species